rnacentral:rRNA from 1 species
UACGGGGGGGGCAAGCGUUGUUCGGAAUUACUGGGCGUAAAGGGCUCGUAGGCGGCCAACUAAGUCAGACGUGAAAUCCCUCGGCUUAACCGGGGAACUGCGUCUGAUACUGGAUGGCUUGAGUUUGGGAGAGGGAUGCGGAAUUCCAGGUGUAGCGGUGAAAUGCGUAGAUAUUCGCAAGAACACCAGUGGCGAAGGCGGCUCACUGGCCCGAUACUGACGCUGAGGCACGAAAGCGUGGGGAGCAAACAGG